rnacentral:lncRNA from 1 species
AUGAUGAUGAAAAGGACAAAUACCAAACUAAAGACUCCAAAACAAAGGAAAGGCCUCAAGUCCACUGAACAAACCCAGCAGUCCAACAAGUCCACUGAACAAACCCAGCAGUCCAACAAGUCCACUGAACAAACCCAGCAGUCCAACAAGUCCACUGAACAAACCCAGCAGUCCAACAAGUCCACUGAACAAACCCAGCAGUCCAACAAGUCCACUGAACAAACCCAGCAGUCCAACAAGUCCACUGAACAAACCCAGCAGUCCAACAAGUCCACUGAACAAACCCAGCAGUCCAACAAGUCCACUGAACAAACCCAGCAGUCCAACAAGUCCACUGAACAAACCCAUCAGCCCAACAAGUCCACUGAACAAACCCAGCAGCCCAACAAGUCCACUAAACAAACCCAGCAGCCCAACAAGUCCACUGAACAAACCCAGCAGCCCAACAAGUCCACUGAACAAACCCAGCAGUCCAACAAGUCCACUGAACAAACACAGCAGUCCAACAAGUCCACUGAACAAACCCAGCAGCCCAACAAGUCCACUGAACAAACCCAGCAGUCCAACAAGUCCACUAAACAAACCCAGCAGCCCAACAAGUCCACUGAACAAACCCAGCAGCCCAACAAGUCCACUGAACAAACCCAGCAGCCCAACAAGUCCAUUGAACAAACCCAGCAGUCCAACAAGUCCACUGAACAAACCCAGCAGUCCAACAAGUCCACUGAACAAACCCAGCAGUCCAACAAGUCCACUAAACAAACCCAGCAGCCCAACAAGUCCACUGAACAAACCCAGCAGCCCAACAAGUCCACUGAACAAACCCAGCAGCCCAACAAGUCCACUGAACAAACCCAGCAGUCCAACAAGUCCACUGAACAAACCCAGCAGUUCAACAAGUCCACUGAACAAACCCAGCAGCCCAACAAGUCCACUAAACAAACCCAGCAGCCCAACAAGUCCACUGAACAAACCCAGCAGCCCAACAAGUCCACUGAACAAACCCAGCAGUCCAACAAGUCCAAUGAACAAACACAGCAGUCCAACAAGUCCACUGAACAAACCCAGCAGCCCAACAAGUCCACUGAACAAACCCAGCAGUCCAACAAGUCCACUAAACAAACCCAGCAGUCCAACAAGUCCACUGAACAAACCCAGCAGUCCAACAAGUCCACUAAACAAACCCAGCAGCCCAACAAGUCCACUGAACAAACCCAGCAGCCCAACAAGUCCACUAAACAAACCCAGCAGUCCAACAAGUCCACUGAACAAACCCAGCAGUCCAACAAGUCCACUGAACAAACCCAGAGAGAGAGAGAGAGAGGGGGGGGGGGGGGUGGGGGGAGAGAGAGAGAGCGGGGGAGAGAGAGAGGGGGGGGAAGAGAGAGAGAGAGAGAGAGGGGAGGGGGAGAGAGAGAGAGAGAGAGGGGGGGUGGGGAGAGUGGGGGUAGAGAGAGAGAGAGAGAGAGAGAGAGAGGGGCUCCGUGUCACUCUGUGCCACACACACAGGUCACUGUAUCAACGAAACACAAUGGUAUUCUUUACACCUGUCAGUCUGCCACCACACCUACAUGA